UACAGAGGGUGCAAGCGUUAAUCGGAAUUACUGGGCGUAAAGCGCGCGUAGGCGGCUGCCUAAGUCGGGUGUGAAAGCCCCGGGCUCAACCUGGGAACUGCACUCGAUACUGGGCGGCUAGAGUAUGAGAGAGGGAGGUAGAAUUCCACGUGUAGCGGUGAAAUGCGUAGAUAUGUGGAGGAAUACCGGUGGCGAAGGCGGCCUCCUGGUUCAAUACUGACGCUGAGGUGCGAAAGCGUGGGGAGCAAACAGG
rnacentral:rRNA from 1 species